rnacentral:rRNA from 1 species
UACGUAGGGUGCGAGCGUUGUCCGGAUUUAUUGGGCGUAAAGAGCGCGUAGGCGGUUUGUCGCGUCGGCCGUGAAAUCUCCACGCUUAACGUGGAGCGUGCGGUCGAUACGGGCAGACUUGAGUUCGGUAGGGGAGACUGGAAUUCCUGGUGUAGCGGUGAAAUGCGCAGAUAUCAGGAGGAACACCGGUGGCGAAGGCGGGUCUCUGGGCCGAAAUUGACGCUGAGGAGCGAAAGCGUGGGGAGCAAACAGG